rnacentral:rRNA from 1 species
AGUGAACGCUGGCGGUAGGCCUAACACAUGCAAGUCGAACGGCAGCACAGUAAGAGCUUGCUCUUACGGGUGGCGAGUGGCGGACGGGUGAGGAAUACAUCGGAAUCUACUUUUUCGUGGGGGAUAACGUAGGGAAACUUACGCUAAUACAGCAUACGACCUACGGGUGAAAGCAGGGGAUCUUCGGACCUUGCGGGAUUGAAUGAGCCGAUGUCGGAUUAGCUAGUUGGCGGGGUAAAGGCCCACCAAGGCGACGAUCCGUAGCUGGUCUGAGAGGAUGAUCGGCCACACGGGAACUGAGACACGGUCCAGACUCCUACGGGAGGCAGCAGUGGGGAAUAUUGGGCAAUGGGCGCAAGCCUGACCCAGCCAUACCGCGUGGGUGAAGAAGGCCUUCGGUUUGUAAAGCCCUUUUGUUGGGAAAGAACAGCAGCAGGUUAAUACCCCGCUGUUCUGACGGUACCCAAUGAAUAAGCACCGGCUAACUUCGUG